UUCUCUCUGCAUUCCCUCAGUAACUUCUUGUUUCUCUGAAUUUUCUUCUAGUGAAACUGUACUUUUCCUGUGCUUUGCUAGGGAUUGUUGGUUUGCCUCCUGCACUUUUAGCAUUAAAAAACAGAUCUCGAUUCCUCUGAAUUUUCCAUCGCAGUACUUGAAUUUCUUUCUUCUAAUGCUUGUACUUGUAAUGUGGGAAGGACAAUAUCACCACUGUUUGAGUUUUGAGGAAAAAUGCAUUUGAUAAACUAGGAAACUUACUUAAAGAUCAUGCAGGGAAUCCAUGUCAGAAGGUAGCAUGGCACACAGCAAUACUUCUGUACUAUUUUAACUGUCCUUUUCUGCUUGAAAGUAGUUUGUGUGUGCCAUGAGUGUUGUUUGAUAUUUUUCUGACCUCAUAUUGUUUGUUCACGUGCUUUUUUUUAUCAGUUGAAGAAUUUAGAUUUUCUUUUAAGAUCUGAGAUUUUUUUAGUUUUGGAAACUACAUGCAGUAUUUUAAAAUUACUGUUUUCUGGUAAUGUUGUGGUCAUUACAUAAAUGCAUACGUAUCUUUUUUAAUUUUUACAGCUAUCAUUAAAUUAAAAGCAAGACUUGUCUAUUACAUUAGUUUCUUCUAAUAUGUAGUCUUUGUGCAAACUUUGAGUGAUACAAGUCAACAGUUACCAUAAAGACAGCAUUGAAUUGCAAGAUAGCCAGUAUUUUUUAUGCCUGUGUCACAUUUUAAAAGCAAUUUAUUUAUAGUCAUUAUCUGAUACUUCUAAGCAUAGUCUAGCCUUAAUAUGCAAGUCCAUUUUUCCUCACUGAUAAUGAUGGAAAGAAUAAUAAAAAAAGCAUUUGAAAUA